rnacentral:rRNA from 1 species
CCUACGGGGGGCUGCAGUGGGGGAUAUUGCACAAUGGGGGAAACCCUGAUGCAGCGACGCCGCGUGUGGGAAGACGGUCUUCUGGAUUGUAAACCACUGUCCCCAGGGACGAAAAUGACGGUACCUGGGGAGGAAGCUCCGGCUAACUACGUGCCAGCAGCCGCGGUAAUACGUAGGGAGCAAGCGUUGUCCGGAAUUACUGGGUGUAAAGGGAGCGUAGGCGGGGAUGCAAGUUGGGUGUCAAAACUACCGGCUCAACCGAUAGUCGCACUCAAAACUGCAGCUCUUGAGUGAAGUAGAGGCAGGCGGAAUUCCUAGUGUAGCGGUGAAAUGCGUAGAUAUUAGGGGGAACACCAGUGGCGAAGGCGGCCUGCUGGGCUUUUACUGACGCUGAGGCUCGAAAGUGUGGGGAGCAAACAGGAUUAGAUACCCGGGUAGUC